UUGAUCCUGCCGGAGAUCACCGCUAUCCGGGUUCGGCUUAUCCAUGCGAGACGAGAGGGGUUAAGCCCUCGUCGUACUGCUGAGUAACACGUAGUCAAUCUACUCUUAGGUGGGGAAUAAUCUUGGGAAACUGAGGCUAAUACCCCAUAGAUUAUAGAUACUGGAAUGUUCUAUAAUCCAAAGCUCCGGCGCCUAAGAAUGAGACUGCGGCCUAUCAGAUUGUUGUCAGGAUAAAAACCUGACAAGUCUAUAACGGGUAAGGGCCAUGAGAGUGGAUGCCCUCAGAUGUUUUCUGAGACAUGAAAACAGGGCCUACGGGUCGCAGCAGGAGCGAAAACUUUCCAAUGCGUUAAUGCGUGAGAAGGGAACCUGGAGUGAUUACACUUCAAGUGUAAUCUUUUGUUUAGGCUAAAGAUCUAUUCGAAUAAGGAGUGGGCCAGACAGGUGCCAGCCGCCACGGUAAUACCUGCGCUCCAAGUGGUGAUCAUUUUUAUUGGGCUUAAAGCGUCCGUAGCCGGUUUAAUAAGUUUCUAGUGAAAUCCUGCAGCUAACUGCAGGGCGUGCUGGAAAUACUGUUAGACUUGGGACCGGGAGAAGUCAGAGGUAUUCCAUGUGUAGGGGUUAAAUCCCUUUAAUCCAUGGAGGACCGCCUGUGGCGAAUAUUUUGAGUAUUGAAAAUUAUAAGCACACAAAAUAUUCCAUAAAAGGCGUCUGACUAGAACGGGUCCGACGGUGAGGGACGAAAGCUAGGGGAGCGAUCGGGAUUAGAUACCCCGGUAGUCCUAGCCGUAAACGAUGCCCGCUUGGUGUCGCGUAUCUUAUGUGGAUAUGCGGUGCCGGAGCGUAAGUGUUAAGCGGGCCGCCUGGGGAGUACGUCCGCAAGGAUGAAACUUAAUGGAAUUGGUGGGGGAGCACACAAGAAGUGGAGGCUGCGGUUCAAUUGGAUUCGACGCCGAACAACUCACGGGGGUUGACAGCAGUAUGAUGGUCACUCUGAAGGGGUUACCUGACGCGCUGAGAGGUGUUGCAUGGCCAACGUCAGCUCGUACCAUGAGGCGUGCGCUUAAGUGCGUUAACGAGCAAGACCCACGCCGUCAUUUGCUAUUAUCUUCUCCGGAAGGUAAGCACCAUGACGGGACCGCUGGUGAUGAACCAGAGGAAGGUGUGGACAACGUUAGGUCCGUAUGGCCCGAAUACCCUCGGCUACACGCGGCCUACAAUGGGUGGUACAAUGCGAUGCAAUACUGAAAAGUAAAGCUAAUCGUUAAAGCCACUCUUAGUACGGAUUGAGGAUUGUAAUUCAUCCUCAUGAAGCCGGAAUUUCUAGUAGGCGAAAUUCACUAUAUUUCGCCGAAUACGUCCCUGCUCUUUGCACACACCGCCCGUCAA
rnacentral:rRNA from 1 species